GAAGCGAGAUGAGAUGACCGCUGCCCCGAUGUAAUAUCGGGGUGGAGGAAAGUCCGGACUCCGCAGGGCAGGGAGGUCGCUAACGGCGACCGGGAGAGAAUCCCAGGGAUAGGACCACAGAAAACAAACCGCCUUGAUGGUAACAUCGGGGUAAGGGUGAAACGGCGGGGUAAGAGCCCACCGCCCCGAUGGCGACAUCGGGGGCACGGCAACCCCCUCCCGGAGCAAGACCAAAUAGGAAGGCAUUUAAGGAUGGCCCGUCCGCGCCUUCGGGUUGGUUGCUUGAGGCGCUGAGCAAUCAGCGUCCCAGAUGAAUGGUCAUCGCCCUCACACCUAUAAUAUAGAUGCGAGGGAGACAGAACCCGGCUUACGGUCUCGCUUCAGCG
rnacentral:RNase_P_RNA from 1 species